rnacentral:rRNA from 1 species
GAUGAACGCUAGCUACAGGCUUAACACAUGCAAGUCGAGGGGAAACGAUAGAGAAAGCUUGCUUUUCUAGGCGUCGACCGGCGCACGGGUGAGUAACGCGUAUCCAACCUGCCCAUCACUUGGGGAUAACCUUGCGAAAGUAAGAUUAAUACCGGAUGGCAUACGAAUAUCGCAUGAUAUUUUAUUAAAGAAUUUCGGUUAUCGAUGGGGAUGCGUUCCAUUAGUUGUUGGCGGGGUAACGGCCCACCAAGACUACGAUGGAUAGGGGUUCUGAGAGGAAGGUCCCCCACAUUGGAACUGAGACACGGUCCAAACUCCUACGGGAGGCAGCAGUGAGGAAUAUUGGUCAAAUGGGGCGCGAGCCUGAACCAGCCAAGUAGCGUGAAGGAUGAAGGCUCUAAUGGGGUCGUAAAACUUCUUUUAUAUGGGAAUAAAGUUUUCCACGUGUGGAAUUUUGUAUGUACCAUACGAAUAAGGAUCGGCUAAACUCCGUGCCAGCAGCCGC